UCCUGUACAAUCACUGAAGUUAAGCAACAUUGAGCCUGGUCAGUACUUAGGUGGGUCACCACUUGGAAAUACCAGGUGCUGCAA